rnacentral:rRNA from 1 species
UACGGAGGGGGCUAGCGUUGCUCGGAAUUACUGGGCGUAAAGGGUGCGUAGGCGGAUCUUUAAGUCGGGGGUGAAAGCCCGAGGCUCAACCUCGGAACUGCCUUCGAUACUGCGAGUCUCGAGUCCGGGAGAGGUGAGUGGAAUUCCUAGUGUAGAGGUGAAAUUCGUAGAUAUUAGGAAGAACACCAGUGGCGAAGGCGGCUCACUGGCCCAGUACUGACGCUGAGGCGCGAAAGCGUGGGGAGCAAACAGG